rfam:Aedes albopictus isolate Foshan contig1444, whole genome shotgun sequence.
UAGCCUAGUGGUUAAGGCUAUGGAUCACCGAUCCGGAGACGGCGGGUUCGAUUCCCGU